rnacentral:rRNA from 1 species
UACGGAGGGUGCGAGCGUUAAUCGGAAUUACUGGGCGUAAAGCGCACGCAGGCGGUUUGUUAAGCAAGAUGUGAAAGCCCCGGGCUCAACCUGGGAACUGCAUUUUGAACUGGCAGACUAGAGUCUUGGAGAGGGGGGUGGAAUUCCAGGUGUAGCGGUGAAAUGCGUAGAGAUCUGAGGAAUCAGUGGCGAAGGCGGCCCUCGCGCAAAUAUUGACGCUGA